ACGUAGGGUGCAAGCGUUAUCCGGAUUCACUGGGUUUAAAGGGUGCGUAGGCGGAUUGGGAAGUCCGUGGUGAAAUCCCCGAGCUUAACUCGGGAACUGCCGUGGUUACUCUCAGUCUUGAAUAUCGUGGAGGUAAGCGGAAUAUGUCAUGUAGCGGUGAAAUGCUUAGAGAUGACAUAGAACACCAAUUGCGAAGGCAGCUUACUACACGGUCAUUGACGCUGAGGCACGAAAGCGUGGGGAUCAAACAGGA
rnacentral:rRNA from 1 species